rnacentral:misc_RNA from 1 species
UUAUAUUUUGCUUCCUGAUCCAAAGAGAAGAAAAUCGGGGAUUUAUGCUUUAUAUAGAAUUGAUUCAUCUUGCAAAAACAAACUUUGGUUGCAAAACAUGUCUAAGUAUGCUCAAAACAUUUUGUAUCUGAGUUUCUGCUGUUGUCACUGGUUUUAGAGAGUACCUUCGUGAAUGAAGAUAAAAAGUCAUAUAUGUUAUUUUUUAAAAGUUAAGACAUAAUAUUGUUAAUCCUCAUACCAUUUACCAAAAAACUUUAUAAAUAUUGUUACGAUGUUAUAAUUCAAGUUGUUGUAAUUAGUAAUUUUGAUCAUUUCAUUAUUAAACUGUAAAAAAUAUUUUUUAUUUAUAACAUUUAUUUCACAUAUAUUAAAAACAUGAGGAAUAAAUAUUACACUGAGAAAAAUUUUAAGCAAAAUAUAGAAUUUUUAAAUGUUAUUAGAAUAUCAAUAUGUAAUAUUUUUGUUUUAUUUAUUGACUACAUCUGUAAACUGUGCAAUAAUUUCAUAAUGAUGAA